GGUCUCAGUUCAGAUUGCAGGCUGCAACUCGCCUGCAUGAAGUUGGAAUUGCUAGUAAUCGCGAAUCAGAAUGUCGCGGUGAAUACGUUCCCGGGCCUUGUACACACCGCCCGUCACACCAUGAGAGUCGAUAACACCCGAAGCCUGUGAGCUAACCGUAAGGAGGCAGCAGUCGAAGGUGGGGUUGAUGAUUGGGGUGAAGUCGUAACAAGGUAGC
rnacentral:rRNA from 1 species